rnacentral:lncRNA from 1 species
CUGCUAGUGUCUGCGAUCACAUCUGGACAAGCAAUCAUUCUCUGGGUUAACUUCAUACAACCUUGAAUUUUUCAGAAAGUCCUUGAGAGACAGUGCAGCUGCUUUAUGUAGCAACAGUGCCUGAGUGCUGGAACACUAUCUGAAAUCUUGGCAGCUAGGGUUGCUAAUAAACAUUUAAUUUACAACCUAUACCAUUCUUUUAGCUUAGCAAAGUGCUUCUUCCGUCCAUCUGUUUCUCCUGAUUUAUUAAAAUCCCUAUUUAUCUCUUUGUUGCUGUGGAGGAGGGAGCAGGACACACCAUCAUGGCACUGGGCCAAGGCAGAAAAGGCCAUCCGAAGUAGACCACACGGAAUUAAAUACCAACUCCCCACUGUUUGUAGAUCCUGGAACACCUUGAGAGUAAAAUGACAAGAACCUCCUCAUCAAGUGACACAGCUCUCAAGGCAUCGCAGCCCACAGGUAGCUGUCAAGAGAAUG